rnacentral:rRNA from 1 species
GACGAAGGAUGCAAGCGUUAUCCGGAUUCAUUGGGUUUAAAGGUUGCGUAGGUGGCCUUAUAAGUCAGUGGUGAAAUCUCUGGGCUUAACCCAGAAAUUGCCAUUGAUACUGUAGGGCUUGAGUAUAGAUGCCGUUGGCGGAAUAUGACAUGUAGUGGUGAAAUACAUAGAGAUGUCAUAGAACACCGAUUGCGAAGGCAGCUAACGAAACUAUAACUGACACUGAGGCUCGAAAGUGUGGGGAUCAAACAGG